AUGACUGUACAAAAACAUGAGAAGGGUGAGGUGGCCAUCUUGGUUGAAGUAGCUGUGGAGCUGAUCCAGGGCGGAGUGACUGGCAUGGAUCUGCUGGAGACGUUUCUUACUCCAUGCAUCCAGCCAUGGCAAGCCCGCGACCACUCCAUGUGGUUGUACUCAGGCCCAGAAGACACCGCUUGGACCCACUCUGAGGUGGUCGGAGAGGAUACAGUGGCACAGUGGCUUCCGAGCAUCACUGGGAAUAAGGAUAACCCGUGCGAAGCGAAACAAAUUUUGCCAUUCGACGCUGAACAUCCACCCGGAGAGGCGUUCACAAACAUGUACUCGCCAGUGCCGAACGGAGAACCACACCACAGGAGAGCGGAGAGCGAGGGCAGUGACGACAUUGAGUAUGCAGACGAUGUCAGUGAUGACUCUAACAAUGAUGAUGAGGUCGAGUCUUCACCAUGCUUUGAGCAUCGAUCCAAGCAGACAGAAGAGCCUGUGGCUGAUCAUGGCAAGGCCGUGGCAUUGAGUGUGAAGACCCUGAAGCGCACUCGCACGACCACUGCUGAGCCGAGUGAGAAGGUUGCCAAGCGUCCCACAUGGAGGUUGACGACGGGCAAGCUGACGCGGAUACUGCAGACAUGGCCACUUCUCGAGCAGCACCGGCGGAUGUUAUUCAGCUCCCAGAUGACCACGAGGAGGAAAUUCCAAAGAACACACGAGGAAGAGGCAGGAGCUCGACCAGCUCGCAAAACCUUUCCAAGAGAGUGCCUUCAAGCCGGACGUCUCAUCCGUCGACUGAACCUGUGGUCCAAGAUAUUGGUGGUUCAUCGCAGACUGUCGUAA
rnacentral:rRNA from 1 species